rnacentral:rRNA from 1 species
UACGUAGGGGGCAAGCGUUAUCCGGAUUUACUGGGUGUAAAGGGAGCGUAGGUGGUGCGGUAAGUCAGAUGUGAAAGCCCGGGGCUCAACCCCGGGACUGCAUUUGAAACUAUCGUGCUAGAGUGCAGGAGAGGUAAGUGGAAUUCCUAGUGUAGCGGUGAAAUGCGUAGAUAUUAGGAGGAACACCAGUGGCGAAGGCGGCUUACUGGACUGUAACUGACACUGAGGCUCGAAAGCGUGGGGAGCAAAC